rnacentral:rRNA from 1 species
UACAGAGGGUGCGAGCGUUGUCCGGAAUCACUGGGCGUAAAGGGCGCGUAGGUGGCGCGACAAGUCAGUGGUGAAAGCUCGAUGCUUAACAUCGAGUCGGCCACUGAUACUGUUGGGCUUGAGCACUGUAGAGGCUAAUGGAAUUCCGGGUGUAGCGGUGGAAUGCGUAGAGAUCCGGAAGAACACCGGUGGCGAAGGCGGUUAGCUGGGCAGUUGCUGACACUGAGGCGCGAAAGCUAGGGGAGCAAACGGG